GCGUGGCAUCAUCAAGAUUCACACACUGCUUGCAAAUGCAUACAUGCAUCUCUGCCGCCUUCUUUGCCUGCCAUUAAUAGCAGUUUUACUACAUGUUUUAGCUGCUGCUGCAUCAUAUAUGCCUCUGUGAAUAUAUAUGUGUAUGUGUGGGAAUCUUGAUGAUGCUGCAU
rnacentral:pre_miRNA from 1 species